rnacentral:rRNA from 1 species
AUUGAACGCUGGCGGCAGGCCUAACACAUGCAAGUCGAGCGAGCGGCGGAAGGGUGAGUAAUGUAUGGGGACUGCCCGAUAGCGGGGGAUAACUACAGGAAACGGUAGCUAAUACCGCAUAGUAUCGGAUAACACAUAUGGGAUUAGCUAGUAGGUGAGGUAAUGACUCACCUAGGCGACGAUCCCUAGCUGGUCUGAGAGGAUGAUCAGCCAAACUGGACCUGAGACACGGCCCAGACUCCAACGGAGGCAGCAGUGGGGAAUAUUGCACAAUGGGCGCAAUCCUGAUGCAGACAUGCCGCGUGUAUGAAGAAGGCCCUAGGGUUGUAAAGUACUUUCAGUCGGGAGGCGGUACCGACAGAAGAAGCACCGGCUAACUCCGUGCCAGCAGCCGCGGUAAUUC